rnacentral:rRNA from 1 species
GACGUAGGAGGCGAGCGUUGUCCGGAUUCAUUGGGCGUAAAGAGCGCGCAGGCGGUCGGAUAAGUCGAAUGUGAAAGCCCCCGGCUCAACUGGGGAGGGUCAUUCGAUACUGUUCGACUCGAAGGCAGGAGAGGGAAGUGGAAUUCCCGGUGUAGUGGUGAAAUGCGUAGAUAUCGGGAGGAACACCAGUGGCGAAGGCGACUUCCUGGCCUGUUCUUGACGCUGAGGCGCGAAAGCUAGGGGAGCAAACGGG